GAACGCUGGCGGCGUGCUUAACACAUGCAAGUCGAACGAAGACAUCUGAGUGCUUGCACUUGGAUGGACUGAGUGGCGGACGGGUGAGUAACGCGUGGGUAACCUGCCUUAUACAGGGGGAUAACAGUUGGAAACGACUGCUAAUACCGCAUAAGCGCACGGUAUCGCAUGAUACAGUGUGAAAAUGCUUCCGCUUGAAGAUGAGCUUGCGUCUGAUUAGCUAGUUGGUGAGGGUAAAGGCCCACCAAGGCGACGAUCAGUAGCCGGUCUGAGAGGAUGAACGGCCACAUUGGGACUGAGACACGGCCCAGACUCCUACGGGAGGCAGCAGUGGGGAAUCUUCCGCAAUGGGCGAAAGCCUGACGGAGCAACGCCGCGUGAACGAUGAAGGUCUUAGGAUCGUAAAGUUCUGUUGUUAGGGACGAAGGGCAAGGGUUAUAAUACAGCCUUUGUUUGACGGUACCUAACGAGGAAGCCACGGCUAACUACGUG
rnacentral:rRNA from 1 species